AUUGAACGCUGGCGGCACGCCUAACACAUGCAAGUCGAGCGGUAACAUGAAUUGUAGCAAUACAAUUUGAUGACGAGCGGCGGACGGGUGAGGAACACGUAGGAACCUGCCCAAGAGUGGGGGACAACCAAGGGAAACUUUGGCUAAUACCGCAUAAUCUCUUAGGAGAAAAGUUGCCCGCAAGGGUAGCGCUUUUGGAGGGGCCUGCGUCCGAUUAGUUAGUUGGUGAGGUAACGGCUCACCAAGACGAUGAUCGGUAACUGGUCUGAG
rnacentral:rRNA from 1 species